rnacentral:tRNA from 1 species
GGCUCUGUGGUGCAAUGGAAAGCGUGUUAGACUUCUAAACACUUGCCUUUGGUAGGGUAUUGCAUGGGACAGUCAUUCAAAGGUUGUGGGUUCACAUCCCACCAGAGUCA